CUUAAUCUGAGCAGGGUAAGCCGGCCCCUAAGGCGAGGCCGAAAGGCGUAGUCGAUGGGAACCACGUUAAUAUUCGUGGGCCAGGAGGAAGUGACGGAUCUCGAAGGUAGUUUGCCCUUAUCGGAUUGGGUGGGCUGCUCAGAGGUUCCAGGAAAUAGCCCUCCAUCAGACCGUACCCUAAACCGACACAGGUGGACUGGUAGAGUAUACCAAGGCGCUUGAGAGAACCACGUUAAAGGAACUCGGCAAAAUGCCUCCGUAAGUUCGCGAGAAGGAGGCCCCAUAUCUGGGCAACCAGGUGUGGGGGGCACAAACUAGGGGGUGGCGACUGUUUACUUAAAACACAGGGCUGUGCGAAGCCGUAAGGCGACGUAUACAGUCUGACGCCUGCCCGGUGCUGGAAGGUUAAAAGGAGGGGUGCAAGCUCUGAAUUGAAGCCCCAGUAAACGGCGGCCGUAACUAUAACGGUCCUAAGGUAGCGAAAUUCCUUGUCGGGUAAGUUCCGACCUGCACGAAUGGCGUAACGAUCUCCCCGCUGUCUCUAACGUGGACUCAGCGAAAUUGAACUGUGUGUCAAGAUGCACACUACCCGCGGUUAGACGGAAAGACCCCAUGCACCUUUACUCCAGCUUUGCACUGGUAUCAGGAUUGUGAUGUGCAGGAUAGGUGGUAGGCAUCGAAGCGGGGACGCCAGUUCUCGUGGAGCCUCCCUUGAGAUUCCACCCUUCGCCAUCUUGAUAUCUAACCGCGGCCCGUUGUCCGGGUCCGGGACCCUGCAUGGUGGGGAGUUUGACUGGGGCGGUCGCCUCCCAAACAGUAACGGAGGCGCGCGAAGGUAGGCUCAGACCGGUCGGAAAUCGGUCGCUGAGUGCAAUGGCAGAAGCCUGCCUGACUGCAAGUCUGACAAGACGAGCAGAGACGAAAGUCGGUCAUAGUGAUCCGGUGGUCCCAAGUGGGAGGGCCAUCGCUCAACGGAUAAGAGGUACGCUGGGGAUAACAGGCUGAUGAUGCCCAAGAGUCCAUAUCGACGGCAUCGUUUGGCACCUCGAUGUCGGCUCAUCUCAUCCUGGGGCUGGAGCAGGUCCCAAGGGUAUGGCUGUUCGCCAUUUAAAGAGGUGCGUGAGCUGGGUUUAGAACGUCGUGAGACAGUUCGGUCCCUAUCUGCCGUGGGUGUAGGAGACUUGAGAAGAGUUGCCCCUAGUACGAGAGGACCGGGGUGAACGAACCACUGGUGGACCAGUUGUCGUGCCAACGGCAGUGCUGGGUAGCUAUGUUCGGACAGGAUAACCGCUGAAGGCAUCUAAGCGGGAAGCCCCCUUCAAAACAAGGUCUCCCUUGAGAGCCGUGGAAGACCACCACGUCGAUAGGCCGGAGGUGUAAGUGCAGCAAUGCAUUCAGCUGACCGGUACUAGUUGC
rnacentral:rRNA from 1 species